rnacentral:lncRNA from 1 species
AAGGAAGAAACACAGAACAGAAUAUUUGGUUCAACAACAAAUAGAAGAAGCUACUGAAGCAGCUUAAAGUUACAUAAUACUCAGGAAAAAAAUGGACUUGUGCAAAGUAAAUUUGGAGGUGAUAAAGCAUUGGAUAGCAAAAUGAAUAAAAUCAAUUUCUAAAUUUCAAAAUGACAUUGUGAUUGAAUUUAUAUUCAACCAGUUGUAGGUGAAGACUCCAAAUUCCAAAAUAAUGCAAAUCAAUCUGACUGGAUUUUUUAAUUAAAAUGCUAGAAAAUUUAUUGGAGAACUAUAUCUAGUGCUGUUAUAUACACACAAAAAAAUGUCUGGGAUCCAUUUUACUUUCAAAGAAAUCAAAGAAAAAUAAAUAAAACAGGUGUAGAUUGACCAAGACAUUUUGCGUCUAUAAAAAAGGAAGAUGAAGACAAACAUAAGACAAAAAAGGAAAAGAAGGAAAGCAGCAAUUAAAAAAUAAAACAGUUCUAGAAGCCUAAGAAGAUACUAAUCCAGAUUGUCUUCCCCUAUCAGCCCAUCUUUCUGUGUCAGGAAACAGAGACAGGGCAUUUACUCUUGAUCUUCUUUUCACAGAACCAAGAGCUGGAGAGUCCUUUUGUUUCUAAAGAGGAGAAAUCCAGCAUACUCAAAACCUGCAUUGAAAGUAAAAACAAAAUUUGGUGCAAGAGGCUACCUCUAUUAGUGAUAGUCUAAAGGUUUCCAAACCUAAACCUGUGUCAGAGUGUAGAGAAUAUUCUCUUGGAAAAAAAUUGAAACAGAAAAUGACAAAAAAAAAAAAAAAAUCAUUCAGUCAUGUUCCAAAUUGGGAUUCCAGAUAUAUUGUAGCUGUUUUUUUUUUCUUCACACUCACCUGCACCAGGGCCAUUGAUCUUAAUGAAGAUCACAUCUGCCUAAGAGGUGACCUAGUUCAAGAAGGUGGCAAUUCCUCAAAAGAUAACUUUACCAAAGACAAAUGCUUUCUCUAUGGAGGCAUAAAAUAUGAAGAUCUCCAGUGAGAUGUCAAUAUCCUUAACUGGAAGCAGCUCAUUGUCCUCCUCAUCUCCUCCAGGUCAUCACCAAAUAAACCUUCCAAGAAAAAAUCUACUCCAGGAAAAGCUAGCAGAUUAUCUUCUUUAGCAAGUCCUCAAAGGUAAAUGCACUGGCUGUUACCUCCAGCAACUCCCUUAUCCAAAACUCC